CAAGUGAUUAGUCCCAGGAUUGCUAUCAUAAAGACACGUGUCCAAAAGCCGAGAAUAAUUUGAUAAUUUCUUCACGUCUGCACGGCUUUUGAUGUUAUGAAAUGGAGAUUAGUUCACGCGUGUGUUAAUUCCUCCUGAUUUGGGUUCAUUGGCGGCUGUCGUAUCAUUGGUCCUAAGGUAGCAGAAUUCCUUGACAGGUAAGUUCCGUCCAGCAUGAGCGGUGUUACGACUUCCUCACUGUCACUAGCCUAGUCUUUCAGAAAUUGAGUCAUCCUUGAUUACGAGGAAGCCAACGGCCUGACGAUAAGACCCUGAGCACCUUUCCU
rnacentral:rRNA from 15 species